rnacentral:misc_RNA from 1 species
CCCAAUCUUUGGCUUGCUUGAACAGAAAUGCUGAUACCUUGACCAAAGAACUCUGUAGCCGCGGCUCAGCCGAGAGAGCGAACCAAGCCAAGUUGGUGGCAGAGGCCCACCUCCAAACAGNNACCGCAAGCAGCCAACUUUUGAGACAACCAGAGCAGCUCUGCCGCCAACUUUUCAGACCAUUUCACUCCCUCUCUUGGCCUCCCACCCAAGGCCCCCAGUGUUCCUUCUUUGACAGACCUAAC